CAUGCCCUCAUCAAACACACGGUCGUGUCUCGCACACGGCCACCCAAACAGGCGGCCACACUCCCGUGUGGCAUCGAAAGUAGACAUUUUUGGCUUUCGCUGAAACCUCAUUUUCCAUAAAUUGGGAACACACCUGUUUCAAUUUUGAUGCGAGCACACACCUGAGAUCACCAGAAUCUAAAACCGACAAACCAAACUCCAAAAUCAUUCAUAAUUCAUGAUUAAACCAAAACUACCAAAAUCAAAAAUAGUCCAAUUCAAACGUUCAUCACUUACCCCAACACUCCGAACGAUUUCAACUACGAUUUCGCAAGAGAAGAGCCCCAUUCUUGGCGAUUCGUUGCUGUCAAAACACGAGUUCAACAUCAACGAAAAGUUCAACACUCUAUAAACGAAUUAAAGAAAGACUCCCUACUCGAGCAAAACAUACUACCCUUACUUACCAAACGUAUAACCACAAUGAUACGAAACACCGCAAUAUUGAAGAACAAUUUUUAUUAAAACGAAAAAGAAAAAUGAGAAAACUUCUGUUGAAAAGAAAAGGGGAAAAAUAACAGAGGAGGAAAAAAAGGAAACGUCAGUUUUUUUCCAAGAAGGGAGAGAUUUUUGGGAAAACAAAAUUUACCCAAAUCUCACUACAUCCACAUCCAUAAUCACCCAAUAACUCAGAAUCCCACUACCACUGAACUUCUAACCACCACCGAAGCAAAAAAAAAUAUUAACGACAUUCACGCAAGGACUCAAACACAAAAUUUUCAACACACUAACUCCUUACCACUCGAAUCAAUAGGCUCAUUCUGAUAUAGACUAACAGACAAUUUAAUAUAAGCUCACUCAACAAGGGUAAGGCUUGAAUUAGAAAAAUAACAAAAUUUGACAAAUGUGAGGCUUGAACCCAAGACCUCACACACACUCCUAAAAUAUUUAAUCACUGAAAUAAAUACACAUUUGUGUUAAAUAUUUACAGAAUUAGAAAUAAAUUAUUCAAAGAGUUACAAAGGGUAUAAAGACCUCUAUAGUACUUUUACCUUUACUAACAACAUUAAAGUAAUUUUAAAUAGAGAUAAUAAUAAUAAUAAUAAUGUUUAAAUCUUGGAGUUCUAAACAAUUCCUAUCCUCUAUCUCUAACAAAAUAAUGAGCUUGAGUUUAGUUUUAAUUUCAUUUUAUAUAUUUAUCUAGAUUAAAAAAAGAUUACUUAAAUAAUCAACUUUUUAGUUGUUUUUUUUUUUACGAAGUCUGAAUAGUUGACAAUGAUUUACAUCGCUAUAUUAUUUUCGCUGUGAAUUAAGAUAUCAAAGAAUAAAAUGUUGAAUAUUUGGUAUCUUACCCUAUGUUAUACACCAGUUAAGGAGAUAAUUGAUUAUUCAAUUUAGGACAGUCCUCUCGAGCCUUUUGAUCUAUCGUUGUCAAUGUCAUUAAUGUUGGGAUGAAGUGUAAAAUUUAUACUGGACACAGAUAAAAGCAUUCAGGUUUUAAACAUGUUACAAGUGAUUUUGAGUUUAGGUAUUUGGAUCCAAUUAUUUUAAAUUUGAGUUCAAGUAAACUUAACUUCAUUAUAUUUUUUACUUCUGGCGGCUUUGAAAUUUAACUAAAUUCUAAUUUUUAGAUGUCAAAGUAGAUUUUUCUUUCUAUCAUUUUUGAAUUAAACAAUUAUUUUAAAGAAAACUUUGAAAUUAAAUAAAAAUAAAUAAACAACCGGGGCCAACCCUUCUACCUGUCCCUUGGUUACACGUCUCUAAGCUAGCUGUAUGCUCCCUUGGAAUCUAAAUUCUAUAAAUUGGUGAAUCAAUUUCCACCACUUAACAAUCACAGAUUCUUCUUCUAUAUUCCCUUUGGCAAAAUACAAAUAUUAAUAUUAGGAAUGGCUGAUUACCGGGAGAAGAUGGGGUUGAAGAAAGGGCCAUGGACUCCAGAUGAAGACCAGAAGCUCUUAGCUUAUUUUGAAGAACAUGGGCUGGGGAAUUGGCGUACCUUGCCUGAAAAAGCUGGUGACUAUCCAUCAUCUUUUUUUUCCAUUUUAGUAUUCUGCAAAUACGCAUUCUUUCUAUACGUUUUGCUGGUCUACUUUAUAACUGACCAAAAUGCUUCUUCUUUUUAUCUCAAAUAAUAAUAAUAAAUAAAUAAAUAAGGGCUUCAAAGAUGUGGAAAGAGCUGCAGACUGAGGUGGAUCAAUUACCUCAGACCUGAUCUCAAGAGGGGAAAGUUCAGUUUACAAGAAGAACAAACCAUCAUCCAACUCCAUGCUUUUCUUGGAAACAGGUCUUAAGAUGCCACUUCUCCACUUCUCUCCCUAAACCAUCAAAUCUUGUAAAUACCCUUUAAUUAAAACAAAUUCAACAGUAUGGUGGAAUCAAUCAAAUCUGGGUUUUAAGGAUUUCAAAGAAUAACAAUGGAGUGAAACAAGAUAGACCCACAGUUGUUAUAUUCUAUUCCACUCUACUAUGAAGGUGUAAUUUUGAAAACUCUUAUAUAUUUCCAUGGAUGUUGGAACAUCUAUCUUUAUUGUUCAAAAAGAAAUAUAUCCUUGAGACUUGCCCAAUCAUUUUAAAUUUUUUGAACUAAUUUUUUAUUAGUUUCAAUUAUUAUUAAAUCGAGUUAAGUUCAAAUUUAUGUGCAUGUCUAAAUCAAGUACAUUAUAGUUUAUAUUAUAUUUGGGUAUUUCAGCUUCAAGCCAUUCGUGUAUAGUUUACACUAUUUACUACUGGUACUGGACUGUAAAUUUAAGCAUAGGGAAAUUUGCUGUUGCAUGCAUGCAAUUAUUUCCAAUUUCAGAUUAUUUACAAAAUUCUACGUACCUUUCCUGUGAAGGUGGUCAACCAUUGCAGCUCACUUACCGAAUCGAACCGACAACGAGAUUAAAAACUACUGGAACACACAUAUUAAGAAACGGUUUACCAAGAUGGGGAUCGAUCCCACC
rnacentral:lncRNA from 1 species